rnacentral:rRNA from 1 species
GAUGAACGCUGGCGGCGUGCUUAACACAUGCAAGUCGAACGGUGAAGGCGGAGCUUGCUCUGCUGGAUCAGUGGCGAACGGGUGAGUAACACGUGAGCAAUCUGCCCCUGACUCUGGGAUAAGCGCUGGAAACGGCGUCUAAUACUGGAUACGAGCUGCGAAGGCAUCUUCAGCAGCUGGAAAGAACUUCGGUCAGGGAUGAGCUCGCGGCCUAUCAGCUUGUUGGUGAGGUAACGGCUCACCAAGGCGUCGACGGGUAGCCGGCCUGAGAGGGUGACCGGCCACACUGGGACUGAGACACGGCCCAGACUCCUACGGGAGGCAGCAGUGGGGAAUAUUGCACAAUGGGCGAAAGCCUGAUGCAGCUACGCCGCGUGAGGGACGACGGCCUUCGGGUUGUAAACCUCUUUUAGCAGGGAAGAAGCGAAAGUGACGGUACCUGCAGAAAAAGCGCCGGCUAACUACGUG